rnacentral:rRNA from 1 species
CGGGGAGGUAGUGACGAAAAAUAACGAUACGGGACUCAUCCGAGGCCCCGUAAUCGGAAUGAGUACACUUUAAAUCCUUUAACGAGGACCAAUUGGAGGGCAAGUCUGGUGCCAGCAGCCGCGGUAAUUCCAGCUCCAAUAGCGUAUAUUAAAGUUGUUGCGGUUAAAAAGCUCGUAGUUGAAUCUGUGUGUCACAGUGUCGGUUCACCGCUCGCGGUGUUUAACUGGCAUUAUGUGGUACGUCCUACCGGUGGGCUUAGCUCUUCGCGGGGCGGUCCAACUCAAUUACCCAUCGCGGUGCUCUUCACUGAGUGUCGAGGUGGGCCGGUACGUUUACUUUGAACAAAUUAGAGUGCUCAAAGCAGGCUAUCUUCGCCUGAAUACUCUGUGCAUGGAAUAAUGGAAUAGGACCUCGGUUCUAUUUUGUUGGUUUUCGGAACCCCGAGGUAAUGAUUAAUAGGGACAGAUGGGGGCAUUCGUAUUGCGACGUUAGAGGUGAAAUUCUUGGAUCGUCGCAAGACGGACUAAAGCGAAAGCAUUUGCCAAAAAUGUUUUCAUUAAUCAAGAACGAAAGUUAGAGGUUCGAAGGCGAUCAGAUACCGCCCUAGUUCUAACCAUAAACGAUGCCAGCUAGCGAUCCGCCGAAGUUCCUUAGAUGACUCGGCGGGCAGCUUCCGGGAAACCAAAGCUUUUGGGUUCCGGGGGAAGUAUGGUUGCAAAGCUGAAACUUAAAGGAAUUGACGGAAGGGCACCACCAGGAGUGGAGCCUGCGGCUUAAUUUGACUC